CAUCAUUCAUGGUAACCAACCGAAUACCAGGUUCAAAGAAUUCAAACAAGCUGCAUUGCUGACCUUUUUGUCUCUGGUAGAAGAACACGAAUGUUGGCUUUGUUUUAUUUUGAAAUCCCUGUUGGCAGAUAUAGACAGAGCCACAGCAUCGGCAUUACAAAUCCUACUAUCGCAUUUGUUAGGAGAUGCUGACAGUCCUAAUGUUGUGGGUUUGGCAUUUCUUCUUCAUCAUUC